rnacentral:rRNA from 1 species
GCCUAUUGCGGCCGCUUAUAAUGCAGUCGAGCGAGAGACGUAGCAAUACGUUUGUAAAGCGGCGAACGGGUGAGGAAUGCAUGGGUAACCUACCCUCGAGUGGGGAAUAACUAGCCGAAAGGUUAGCUAAUACCGCAUACGAUUCCCGGACUUCGGUUCGGGAGGGAAAGCGAUACCGUGGGUAUCGCGCUCUUGGAUGGGCUCAUGUCCUAUCAGCUUGUUGGUGAGGUAAUGGCUCACCAAGGCUUCGACGGGUAGCUGGUCUGAGAGGACGAUCAGCCACACUGGCACUGCGACACGGGCCAGACUCCUACGGGAGGCAGCAGUAAGGAAUAUUGCGCAAUGGACGAAAGUCUGACGCAGCGACGCCGCGUGGGGGAUGAAGGUCUUCGGAUUGUAAACCCCUUUCGGCAGGGAAGAUGGAACGGGUAACCGUUCGGACGGUACCUGCAGAAGCAGCCACGGCUAACUUCGUGCCAGCAGCCGCGGUAAUACGAAGGUGGCAAGCGUUGUUCGGAUUCACUGGGCGUACAGGGAGCGUAGGCGGUUGAGUAAGCCCUCCGUGAAAUCUCCGGGCCUAACCCGGAAAGUGCAGAGGGGACUGCUCGGCUAGAGGAUGGGAGAGGAGCGCGGAAUUCCCGGUGUAGCGGUGAAAUGCGUAGAGAUCGGGAGGAAGGCCGGUGGCGAAGGCGGCGCUCUGGAACAUUUCUGACGCUGAGGCUCGAAAGCGUGGGGAGCAAACAGGAUUAGAUACCCUGGUAGUCCACGCCUUAAACUAUGGAUACUAAGUGUCGGCGGUUUACCGCCGGUGCCGCAGCUAACGCAUUAAGUAUCCCGCCUGGGAAGUACGGCCGCAAGGUUGAAACUCAAAGGAAUUGACGG